rnacentral:rRNA from 1 species
UACGGAGGAUCCGAGCGUUAUCCGGAUUUAUUGGGUUUAAAGGGUGCGCAGGCGGGGGAUUAAGUCGGCGGUGAAAUUUUGCAGCUCAACUGUAAAAGUGCCUUCGAAACUGGUUUCCUUGAGUGUGGAUGAAGUAGGCGGAAUUUGUGGUGUAGCGGUGAAAUGCAUAGAUAUCACGAGGAACUCCGAUUGCGCAGGCAGCUUACUAAACCAUAACUGACGCUCAGGCACGAAGGCGUGGGGAUCAAACAGGAUUAGAUACCCCGGUAGU